GGUUCCGGCAUCGAUGAAGAACGCAGCGAACUGCGAUAAGUAAUGUGAAUUGCAGAAUUCAGUGAAUCAUCGAGUCUUUGAACGCACAUUGCGCCCCCUGGCAUUCCGGGGGGCAUGCCUGUCCGAGCGUCAUUGCUGCCCAUCAAGCCCGGCUUGUGUGUU
rnacentral:rRNA from 1 species